GCCCACGGAUGAAACCGGUUUAGUGGGAAGUAGUUUGGUUUAUCUACAAUUCCAAUGACUUUUUUGGCAGGAAAAGGUUUCCAUAGAAUACACCUGAUAGUCCACCAAGAUUAAUAGGAGCCAUUGAGAGGGUUCUGGCCAUGACCUACAAGGAAGAUAAUAUAUGUACCAACUUGCUGGGGAACUGGACUUAUAGUGAGGCUUAUAUGCAGAAGUAUAUUUCUAAAUUCAGUGAUAUUCCAUCUCAUCUUAUGAACCAAAAUAAUAUUGCAAAUCCUAGGAGAAUGGCUACAACUUUUGAAGAUUUUGUGGUUUGCUAUCAGUAUCAAUGUUCUCCCCAGAAAGCAAAGUCUUGAUAAGUUUCCAAGAUGUGUGCAAAUCAUGAGCUUCUUGUUGCAAGUAGAGCCUCAUGGCAAAAUGUAAUGAGAUUGGGCAUCCUAGCUACCAGCCACUGGUCCAAAAAGAGAUCCUGAUUUAGUUGGACUGAAUGAGGUCAUAUGUUUGUAGCAAUUUGGCUAUAUAUGCAAUCGAUCUUUUUUUCGUCCAAGUCCAUGUACUGAAGCAACAAUUUGAUUUUAUAUGAUCUUUGUUCUGCUCUCAUAUGUAAUGACUUUCGUGAAAGCACUAGAACCGUAUACGGAGUUCUCUUAUCUGAA